UAGCAAAUAGACUACCAUGUAGUAAAGGAUCAACAAGAAAGUAUGAGUGGCCCAAACCCUGCCUCUUCUAAAGAAAGCUUUGGCACUUACCUGGAUCGUGGGAAAUAAUUUCUAAGCCCCUGGAACAUUUUGCCUGUUAAGAAUGUGUGUCUUUGCCAGACACCUUUGGCCCAUCAGAGAGUCUGUAGUAGCAAUGUAAUUUAUGGUGGGAAUUUUGAGCAGCACGACAUCAGCUUGACCUCUGGAGGGGAUGGAGAAAAGGUCAUCCACCUGGGUAAUCUGCCAUGUCUACGUUGUUAAACCCCCAAUAAAAACUCUGGACACGCAGACUCUGGUGAGACUCUCUGGCUGACAAUACUUAGCACGUGUUGUCACACAUCAUUGGUGGGAGAACUAAGUACUGUCUACAUGACUCAACUGGGAAAGGGCAGCUGAAAACUUAUGCCUGGACUCUCCUGGCCUCUGACCAAUAGAAAUAGCUUAUGUGCUUUUUUGCUGAUUUUAAUCUCUGUCCUUUCGCUGUAAUUAACUGUGAGCAUAACAGUCUUUUAAAGUUCAGUGAGUCCUUUUACUGAAUCAUUAAACCAAAGUGUGAUCUUGAGGACCAAACACAACUACAAAGUCUUAAUGGCAUGACACAAUAAAAGUUUACUUGCUGUUUAUGUGAAGUCUUCUGCAGGACUGGGUGCCCUAAUGGCCAACCAUUCUCUAAGCAGUUAGAGAACCAGGCUCUGCCAUCUCAGAGUCCACUGUUUCUAGUCACACAGACGGCAGAAUGAGAGCAAGGAAGAACAUGCAGGAUGUUUUAGAGGCCAGGCUUGUAAGUUUAAGUGUCACUUCUGUUCAGAUUCUAUUGGCCAGAACCCAGUCAUAUGGUGCCAGCCUAAAACAAGGAUGGUUGAAGAGGGGUCUUCUUGUGUCACCAAGAAGAGGAAAUAAAAAUGGUCACCAGCAGCCUGCCUCUCCACCAGGUACAUUCUUCUCCAUGGAGGACUCUUGGAGCACCCAGAGACCUCUCCUGCCCUUCUCCCUCAACAGCAGACAGCACAGGGCCAUAUGCUGCCCACCCAUCUUUGAAAAACCUGAACAUUCUCCUCCUGACUGUCAUCAACAAGUGAAAGGACUCAUUCUGGAGUAAGAGAAAGAGGAUGCGAUUUAGGAUUAGGGUAACUGGGUUUGGAUCUUGGCUUUUCUUUGGCUGAGACACUUUCACAGGAUUUCAGUAAAUCAGAAUUUUAUAUGAAGUAAAGUGCAUGUCUUACCACCAUGUAACUUAACUGAGACAUUCUGGCUUACCUAGCAAAUUCCUUCUCAUCUGCCAGUGGGCUACAGCCACUGUCUUUGUCUAUGUGAUUCUUCUAUGGAUCCCUUUCAGAACCUUAUUUUCUGACCCACUUGCUUCCUGAUGAUCACAUUUGGUAAUAUCCUGCUCCUUAGGAACAACUCUGACCCCUAACCACAUGGCAGACCUUGUCCUAUGCAUUCAGUAAGACAGCCCUGUUAGAUAACUAAUUCGUAAGUCUAAAUGUUGAACAACAUACAUACCAUUUGGGGUAACUUUAGAAAUAGGCUAGAGCUGCUACAUAAAAUCAAAUACCAAAUUCUAAGCAGUUGCUAGGGAUAUGUAUACUAGAUAAAAUAUAGAGUCUUGGCUGGCAGAAUUAGGCUCUCUCCUUGUAUCAGAUGUCCCUCGUGUCCCACAUCACAUUCCAUUGGCACAUCUCUGAUUUCAUGUGCAGUUUCAGUGGGCAGUUCUAGGUAAGCUUGACAAUGUUCCACCUCAAGUACAUGCCUUGGCUUCCCUGAUGUCAUACAACCCACUUGUAUUGGUUCAUUCUUGCAUUGUUAUAAAGAAAUACCUGAGAUUGUGUAAUUUAUAAAGAAAAAAGGUUUGGCCAGGUACGGUGUCUCACACCUGUAAUCUCAGCACUUUGGGAGGCUAAGCUGGGCGGAUCACGAGGUCAAGAGAUAAAGACCAUCCUGGCCAACAUGGUGAAGCCCCAUCUCUACUAAAAAUACAAAAAUUAGCUGGGCCUGGUGGUGUGCACCUGUAGUCCCAGCUACUCAGGAAGCUGAGGCAGGAGAAUUGCUUGAACCUGGGAGGCAGAGGUUGCAGUGAGCUGAGAUCACGCCAUUGCACUCGAGCCUGGUGCCUGCUGACAGAGCAAGUCUGUCUCAAAAAAAGAAAGAAGAUUUAAUUGCUCCUGGCUCUGCAGGCUGUACAGGAAGCAUAAUGCUGGCAUCUGCUUGGUUUCUGGGGAUCCCUCAGGAAACUUACAAUUAUGGCAGAAGGCAAAGCGAGAAGCUGGCACUUCACAGGGCUGGAAGCAGGGAAAGGACAGAGGGUGGGAGGUGCUACACAAUUUUAAACAAUCAGACAUUGUGAGAACUCACUUUAGUGAGAACAGUACCAAGGGAGAUGGUGCUAAACCAUUCAUGAGAAACCACCCCAUGAGCCAAUCACCUCCCACAGCCCCCACCUUCAACAUUGGGGAUUACAAUUCAACAUGAGAUUUGUGUGGGGACGCAGAUCCAAAUAAUCUCACCACUCAACAAGCAUGAACACAGCCCGGCAGUGAUGAGAGGCCAGUGAUCCUAGGGCCAGCUCUCAAAGGAGGUGGAAGCUUGAAAAUAAAUGCUCCAGCAGCUCCUUGCUCAGAUGGGCUAUUCUGGAAGCUUUCAGAGAGUGGAUUGGGAGGUUUUGGCAGAAUCGAUCUGUUCCCAGUUGUGACCUUUCAUAAUUACCCUGUGUGAAAGGGAGAAUAGUGGACCCCUAAGAUGUUCUCAUAUGAAUCCUCAGGAUCUAUGAAUAUGUUAUCUUAACUUGGCAAAGGGAUUUUUCAGAUGUGACUAAGUUAAGGAUAUAGAUUAUCCAGGUUGGUCCUAUGUAAUCACAAGAGUCCAUAUAAGAAGGAGGCAGGAGGGUUAGAGAAAGAGAUGUGACAAUAGAAACAGAGGUCAGGGUGACGCAGCCAUGAGCCAAGGAAUGCAGGCAACCAAAGCUGAAAAAGGCAAGGGAUGAAUUCUUCCCUAAAUCCUCCAGAAAACAUGCAGCACUGCCAACACCUUGAUUUUACCUCCAUAUAUUAGUGUCAUAGGGCUAUUCUAACAAAAUGCCACUAUGUUUGAGGGAAUUUUUUACAGCAGCAAUAGAAAACUAAUGCAUCUCCCAAAUAAACAAUUGCAUAUAAGUCCUUCUCUCUGACUCUGCUUUUAGGCAUUCCUGUAUGCAGGCACAUCUCAUUUUAUUGAAACUUUGUUUCAUUGUACUUUGCAGUUUCUUUUUUCAAACUGAAGGUUUGUGGCAGUGCUGUGUUGAGCAAGUUUAUUGGUGCCAUUUUUUUGAGACAGGGUCUUGCUGUGUUGUCCAGGCUGGUCUUGAACUCUGGGACUCAAGUAAUCCUGGUGCCAUUUUUCCACCAGCAUGUGCUCACUUUGUGUCUCUGUGUCACAGUUUGGAAAUUCUCCCAAUAUUUCACUUAUUAUUAUUAUUAUAUCUGUUAAAGUAAUCUGUGAUCAGGGAUCUUUGAUACUACUAUUGUAAUUGUUUUGGGGCACCACAAGCCAUGCCCAUGUAAGAUGGCAACCUUAAUCAAUGAAUGUUGUGUGUGUUCUGACUGCUUUACCAACCACUUGUUCCUUUGUCUCUGUUUCUCUGUGUCUCCUUGGGCCUCCCAAUUUCCUCAGAUACAACUAUAUUGAAAUUAGGCCAAUUAGUAACCCUAUAAUGGCCUCUAAGAGUUCUAAUGAAAGACUCACGUGUUUCUCACUUUAAAUCAAAAGUUAGAAAUGAUUAAACUUAGUGAAGAAGGCUUGUAAAAAGCCAAGAUAGGAUAAAAUUUGGCCUCUUGCAUGUAACAGUUAGGUAAGUUGUGAAUACAAAGGAAAAGUUCUUGAAGAAAAUUAAAAG
ensembl:lncRNA